UACGUAGGGCGCAAGCGUUGUCCGGAAUUAUUGGGCGUAAAGAGCUCGUAGGCGGCUUGUCACGUCGGAUGUGAAAGCCCGGGGCUUAACUCCGGGUCUGCAUUCGAUACGGGCUAGCUAGAGUGUGGUAGGGGAGAUCGGAAUUCCUGGUGUAGCGGUGAAAUGCGCAGAUAUCAGGAGGAACACCGGUGGCGAAGGCGGAUCUCUGGGCCGUAACUGACGCUGAGGAGCGAAAGCACGGGUAGCGAACAGG
rnacentral:rRNA from 1 species